rnacentral:rRNA from 1 species
AUGGCCAUUGGUGUCGAUCGGGGUACGCGAGCUCCGGCGCCAACCAGCGUCGACGAUGCUACCACAGAGGCGGACUUCGUCUGUGCGCUGCGCAAGUGUGUGCUACUCCUGGCCUACUUCACGGCCAUGGGCUCAUGUCCCAGUCUGCUGGCUGAGCUCGGGAAAGACGGCGUGAGGGGCAUCGUCGGCACGGCGCACGGCGUGGUGUUCAUCUGCUGCAACUCCAUCGCCCUUGUGGUGUCUGGGUUCAUUCUCCUACGGCUCAAUAGCAAGGUAUUAGGCACCCGGGGGAUGAGAUACUAUGACUUGCAGGUCAUCAUCAUCCUAGACGUGCUUGGUCUGAUUGGCGCCUAUAGUGCCGCGAGCCUGAAGACAGCUAUCUUGCUCGUCAGUUUGGUGGUGGUGGUACUGCUCUACGUUGCCAGUCAGGUCCUGCUGUUCUUGUCCAAGCCCGUGGGGAGGCUGCUCCCCCACGUGGAAGAAGCACCGCCGCCGAAGUGCCUGAAAUUCCAGAAGCGAGUUCGGCGGCAGCAAACUAUGGUAGUAUCAACACAAGGCAAAGUCGAAGAUGCUGCCGCUUUCAAGUGUCUGUUUCUAUCCAUAGCUCUUGCCACGAGUAUGGCAUGCGAUGUUAGAGUUGGCCCGACGCCCUUGGCAGCCUCAGGUGACCUGGACACCGGCAUCGUGCUUCCUAAGGUGACGGAGUUGGUGUACUUCCAUUGGAACGACACCGCCUCCGUCGCGUCGCUGAUGUUCAUUCACCUCUACUUCCUAAGCAGGUCUUUCAGCAAGCAGAAAAUCUUAUACCGUGCACUGCAGGUCACCAUGACCCUAGACCUGUUUGCCUUUGUUGCCGUCUCCGCUAGCCGGAACUGGCUACGAUUGCCGGCAUUUGUGUACAUCUCUGUACUUGCUCCGGUGUCCCUCUAUGCCGGCAUCAUGGCCAUGGUUUCCAUGUCAGAAAUGUUCCCGACUUGCAACACCUGGGGAAUAGUUUUGCGGGAGAAGAUGGAACAGUACUGUGUGCCCAAUUGGCUCACCAAGUCAUUUGAGCUGCCAACUGAUGGUGAUGGGCACACAGAGGACACGCGCCAGACGACGGGGUGGAAUUUGGAGGAUUAUCGCCAGUCGGUGUUGUUCGUUGCAAUUGGGAUGGCUAAUGGCAUCAAAAACCAAGCCAGCAUGAGCCUCUCACAGUUAGGGAGCAGGCCCGUCCUUGUGGUGGACAGCAGGGCAUUCCACUUGAAUGAGUUUUAUGUAAGGAACCUCACGGACCAAUCCGGUAUUAGUUCCCUGUCCAGUUUAUGGCAAGAGAAUACAUCAGGCUCUGUCAACCUGAACCUGGCUUUCUACUGCUAUGCAACAGCCUUUACUGGGUUCCUGGCUAUCAUCGUGCUGCUGGCUAACGAGAAGAUCUGGUCAGAAGGAAUACAGUACUACGUCAUGCGACUGUGCAUGGUUCUUCAGCUGCUCUCCUGCGUGGUCGCCAUGACCGAUGUGAACCUCCCAAAGAAAUCGAUGGUGGAUGUAUUUAGAGACGCCUCGAUCCUUCUAGUCACCAUGAUUAUAUUAUCAAGAGGUCCCAGAAAGACAGUCCAAUCGAUCCUCAGAUGGCUCCAGCAUACUCUUCAAGAGGAUCCCUCGGAGGGGGGUUCGAAGGACGAGCUGGAGUUCGGUCUAGCAGAUGGUGGCACGAACAGGGAGCCCGUAGCAGUGGAGAUUUCCGCGCCGAUUCUUGGGGGGGCACUCACCCUCGUCUUGGCCAUACCGGUGAUGCGCAUGCUCGCCAGUCCGGUGAAGAUGGUACUGACAUUCUUUUUCGGCUUAAUUGGGGCCAACCUUUGCCCAAGGUUGCUCGCCCGUUUACUGCAGGUGCUCGCCAGAGCUCUCUAUCAUCGGCACAAUCCGGGUCAAGGUUCCACGCCAACUGCCUUCAACGCCACCUCGUUGGCGCGCAGGGGAUGGUAUAUCGUUUUAGCUAUGUGCAAUGGACUGUGCAAGGUCAUCCGCGCGCUCUGUUCCAAAGGAUGUGUGUGGAUACUAGUGUUGGUGAUCUGGUUCCCUUCCCUGAUGUCCAACCUCAAGCUGAAGGUCAAGAUCUCCAGUAUAUCAGCCCUAGUGUGCAUGCUGAUUGCACUUGCUACCACAGCGACUACCGUGGACUUCCCGACAACGGAAACUACAACAAUUACCAUGGAGUCCUCGACCACGGAAACUACAGCUACUGGGAUGCGCACCUCGACCACAGCUAUGACUACCUCAGGCACCAACACCAGGAGCAACAAUCAUCCACCUCGAGUUGAACCAAGACCCAGGAGGAGCUGUAGGCCCAACACGCGGCUCAUCGGCGAGGAGUGGGUAAAAUAG